AGUCUUAUAUUCAAUAAUGAUUCUGGAUUGCAAAUCUAGAGGUGGAGCAGGUUAGCUUCUAAGGCUU
rnacentral:tRNA from 1 species